AUUGAACGCUGGCGGAAUGCUUUACACAUGCAAGUCGAACGGUAGAGGGGGCAACCCCUUGAGAGUGGCGAACGGGUGAGUAAUAUAUCGGAACGUGCCCAGUCGUGGGGAUAACGUAGCGAAAGCUACGCUAAUACCGCAUGCGAUCUAUGGAUGAAAGCGGGGGAUCGCAAGACCUCGCGCGAUUGGAGCGGCCGAUAUCAGAUUAGGUAGUUGGUGAGGUAAAGGCUCACCAAGCCGACGAUCUGUAGCUGGUCUGAGAGGACGACCAGCCACACUGGGACUGAGACACGGCCCAGACUCCUACGGAGGCAGCAGUGGGGAAUUUUGGACAAUGGCGCAAGCCUGAUCCAGCAAUGCCGCGUGCAGGAUGAAGGCCUUCGGUUGGUAACGUAG
rnacentral:rRNA from 1 species